ACCAUCGGUGGUUCAGUGGUAGAAUGCUCGCCUGCCACGCGGGCGGCCUAGGGUUCGAUUCCCGGCCAUUGCA